rnacentral:lncRNA from 1 species
UUUCUUUAUUAAAUUAAAAAGAUGUUCAAAUUAUGUGAUUUAGACUUUAAAAAUUAAAAUAGAAAAAAGAAAAUGGAGAGAUACAAAAUUAAAAUAAAAGUGAGAAAGUGUGAAAAAAAGAAAUGUGAAGGAAAUUUAAAAUUUGAAUUAAAAUAAGAAAAUGAAGAAUGGGAAAGUUAAAAGUAAAAAGUAAGAAAGUUAAAAGUAAAAAAUGAGAAAUGAAUGAG